CCCGGUGACACUAGCAGAGGGGUCACACCCGUUCCCAUUCCGAACACGGCAGUUAAGCCCUCUUACGCCGAUGGUACUGCAACGAUAGGUUGUGGAGAGUAGGGAGUUGCCGGGU
rnacentral:rRNA from 1 species